GCCGGAAUAGCUCAGUUGGGAGAGCGUUAGACUGAAGUUGUUUACGCAACAGUCAUCUAAAGGCUCCCCGGUUCAAUCCGGGGUUUCGGCA
rnacentral:tRNA from 1 species